AAGUCGUAACAAGGUAACCGUAGGUGAACCUGCGGUUGGAUCAUUAAAAAAACUUUGGCUCGGAAGAGUCGUUGGGGAGUUUUUUGCACCGUCAUUUUGUGUGAACCCCCCUUCUCCUGAAUAAGGAAACAUUUUGUGCACUCAUACCGUUCUUGGGGGUGGGAUGCUGUGUUUUCGUUUUUUCUUGCAUUGAACGUCUCACCAUCUGUCAGCUUGGAUGUGCAUUUCCGUGUCGGUCGCAAUUGCGAUUGUGCUAUCUGGCACUGCGCACUCUUGCCGUGGACAAGCCCCCGCCUGUUUUGCUUUAAACUUUUGCUGUUGUACAAUGUUAUCUGAAUGUGUUGUUUACGUCUCAAAUGUACAAAAAACAACUUUUGGCAACGGAUCUCUUGGUUCUC
rnacentral:misc_RNA from 1 species